rnacentral:rRNA from 1 species
GUGGGGAAUCUUCCGCAAUGGACGAAAGUCUGACGGAGCAACGCCGCGUGAGUGAAGAAGGUUUUCGGAUCGUAAAGCUCUUUCGUUAGGGACGAACGUGCUCUUUGUGAAUAAUGAGGAGUAAUGACGGUACCUAAAUAAGAAGCCACGGCUAACUACGUGCCAGCAGCCGCGGUAAUACGUAGGUGGCAAGCGUUGUCCGGAAUUAUUGGGCGUAAAGCGCGCGCAGGCGGGAUAUCAAGUCUGUCUUAAAAGUGCGAGGCUCAACCUCGUGAGGGGACAGAAACUGGUAUUCUUGAGUGUCGGAGAGGAAAGUGGAAUUCCAAGUGUAGCGGUGAAAUGCGUAGAGAUUUGGAAGAACACCAGUGGCGAAGGCGACUUUCUGGACGAUGUCUGACGCUGAGGCGCGAAAGCCAGGGGAGCGAACGGGAUUAGAUACCCGGGUAGUCC